rnacentral:rRNA from 1 species
UACGUAGGGUGCAAGCGUUGUCCGGAAUUAUUGGGCGUAAAGAGCUCGCAGGCGGUUUGUCGCGUCGAAUGUGAAAACCCGGGGCUCAACCCCGGGCCUGCAUUCGAUACGGGCAGACUAGAGUUCGGUAGGGGAGUCUGGAAUUCCUGGUGUAGCGGUGAAAUGCGCAGAUAUCAGGAGGAACACCGGUGGCGAAGGCGGGACUCUGGGCCGAUACUGACGCUGAGGAGCGAAAGCGUGGGGAGCAAACAGG